UAUUUCUACUCCGGCUCACUACCUCACUAGUUUCAGAGAUGGCUUGCUUAAUGGCGUUCCCCGAGAAAACACACUUGUGACCCUAGUGUGGACCUAAGUGAAUAGCUUUUUUUUUUUUUACAUUUAACAGUAUUGUACUUGGACAGAAAAUAGCCAGAUCAUGUUUUAGCUUCUGUUAGUCAAGACACUAGUUUUCCUUAAUGGCUGAGAAGAUACUGGCAGAUGCAAUUUUUAAAAUGUAUAUGAAAGAAAGACAAAAGAGGGAGUCACUUCCCUCCCUGGGCCCCACUUUCCCCAUCUGUAAAUGAACCUGGCAUUCAAGGGCCUCUGCCUUCUGCCUCUGACCUUGCCCAACACCACUCCUCUCUAUACUCUAAGAACCCAGUUCCUCUAUUACCCACGAGGCAAUCUCACGCUGCUUUUGCUUCCGUAACUCUCUCUUCUCUUAUUUAUCUUCACUAUUCCAAUUCUCCUUUUUUUCUUAGGCCAGCACAAACUCCCUGAAGCAUUCUUUGAAUUCCUCUGCUGGAAGCUAGUGUUUCUUCCUCACCUGCCAGUCACCUGUUUGACUUGUGGAUGAUGCUUAACAAUUUCUGCCUCAUAUUAUAGUCAUUUGUUACCUGUUCCAUGUCCUUAUCUCACGAAUUCUCGAUGACAGACACAUCUCUGUGUCCUGUUUCUUCUCCAGGAGUGUGGACCUCAUGAAGUACAAAUUUAAUAAAUAUCUGAACAAACAAAGAAUGGAUGAUAUUUGAGGUCCUUUCUAACACAGACUCUGAUUUUAGAGUAACAUCAUACUCAUCCUGAAGCAAGUUUAAUAAGAAUUCAUUUAGAAGUAAGAUAUUUUUUGUGAAGUUAUUAUAGAGACUUGUCUAAUCAAAAACUAAAUGAUCUUGGCUGAAUUCUCCUUCUUUAAAAAUAAAUCCAUUCAAAGGUAGAUGCCAUGUAGUAGAAAAAAAUGCUACCUGGGUUUUGUUGUUGUUGUUGUUGUUUUUUGGUGUGGGAAAAGUGAAAUUUGAGAUACUGUUCUAUUUCUUACUAGCUGUGUGACUUUAGACAAGUCAUGCCACUUUUCUGAGUCCAUUUUUUUUUUAACCAGUAGGUAACGAUGUCUUCACGGGGUUGGGAAGAGUUAAGGUGAUAAUGGAUGUGAAAGUGUGUUGCAAACUAAAAAGAACCCCACACAUAAAAAGGGUUAUUAUUAUCAUUACCAUUAUUAUUAUUUAAAAAGUCAUUUCCACGGGAUGUAAAUGCAGUCUCUACAGCUCCUCUGGGCCUCUAAGUGUACAGACUGUAUUUACAAGUUUAUAAAACUCCCAAUAUGGAGUUGAAUAACAGCCAAUCAAUGCUAAUGGCGCUGGAUCCUUAUUUACAGAGUGCCUUUCCUCUGAGAUCAAGAGCUGUUAAUAGCUAAAUCCAUCAAAUUUUAAUUAAUUUCCAUUCCGUAGAUUGUCUGACAAAUAUUUACUGCAUGCCUACUAUGUGUCAGGCAGCAUUUUAGACAGUGGGUGGGUCAUUAAUAUUGCUAAUGAUCUACUUACCUUAUGGAAAACUGCAGAUCCACAGUUACGUGCAGACAAAGUCAGGGGCAGGGCUACAGUCCAGAGCUUAAGGUGGGUAUGGCCUACAUUGUGCUAAGGAUAAUUGUUUCAUGAGCUGAAGCUGGGCAACUUUAGUAAGAGGUGACUCUUUGGUAAGAGUCACAUAUCUUCAUCCACAGAAAACUGGGCCUUUUCCUUAUUUGCCCAUAAUGAGAAAUGAUGUCAGUGGCUGAAAGACACAUUGUGUGACCCAAGUUGCAGGGGUUAGGUUUCUGGGCUGCUUUGGUCAGCUCAGUUUCAGACACUUUGGAAUGGAAAGUUUAAAUGUAGCUAUUGAUUGAGAGAGAUUUGAGUCUGUCCCAGAGCUGACUCCUGCAGAGCCCUGCACCUGGCUGCAAACGCAUUUCACAGAGGUGCAAUUUCACUUUUAUCAUCUAGAGAGAACAGAUUCUUUUCCAAUUGGAGGAUUUUUAAGAUGCUGGGAUCAAAGCUCCACUUUCAUGUGCGGUUGACUCAGAGAACUAGGAGUCAGCAGGGAUAUGGUGAGCCAGCCCAAGAUGCUACAGGGAGCAUUAGGCAUGUUUCCCAUUUCCAGCCAUGUAGCCUCUCAGACAUUUUCUACCAAAGGGUUCCGAGUAGGCCUCCACAGCUUUGGAAUAUCCCUAGCAGUUUUAUCUAGAACAGGAAAAUCACAUAGAUAAUUUGCAUCAUCUUGAAUGGCAGGAUUGUUGACAGUCAUUUGACACAUUUGCUGAAGGAUUAUCACUUUUUCUCACUUUUGAGAAAGACCCAGAGAUGACAGGGCCACCUUCCUCCAAAAGCUCACUGUGGGGUGAUUAAGAAUAUAAAUAAUUAGAAGGGACCACUCAUUCAACAAAUAGUCCUUGAUAGAGUUUUUUUUUUUCCCCAAAUCACACUCUUCAAAGAGUAAAAAGGAUUUGAUGAAACCAGAAAGUGUUUUUUUGUUUUUUUUUCUAUAAUGUGGUAUUUGAGAUACUUUUGUAGCUGACUAUGAAAAAUUUUGAAGAAAAACAAAAACAAAAACAAAAAACAAAGAUGGUUUGAGAAUGGGUGCAUUCCAGAGGUGAGCAAUGUCCUAGAGGCAGGGAAAUGGAAACUGACCCUGGGCACCAAGCAUCGUCCUGUGAGGGCAGAUUGGAGAGUACAGCAGGCAAGAACUGGAUAAAGAGUUUCUGUGGGUCACUUUGGCAGCCAGCUUAACUCUGUGAAGGCAAUACUGUGAAACUUUGAGAGUGCUAUUUGGAGGCAUUUAAAUGAUUGACCAUGUACAACCUCACUCGCUGGUCUACAGUUAUCUCACAAUUCACCCAGUCUCUUAUAUGUAAUAGAUUUCUCUGAGCAACUGGAAAGCCAGCCUCUCCUCAGAUAACAAGUGCCAUUGUAAUUCGUGAUGAAUAAAGGCUCAGAAUGACCUACCACCGUGAUUUUUCCAAACACUUGGGAUUUUGUGUGUAUGUCAUUGAUAAUUGUCUUGCUUUUGGCAAAGUGGCCCUAGAAAAGUAGUAACCAUACUGAAUCAUUCAUUUUAUUUUGAUAAAUAAUAUAUUGGCUUGGAUGAGAAAAAAAAAACUCUCCUAUCUUCAUUUUGAUUAUAUUCCUUUGGAUCACAGGCUCACCUUUCUCCCUGAUUUAAAUAUAAGAAGCCAUCCUGUUUUUGGAAGUAGUUACUUCUUGUUCUUCACUUGAUUGUUAUAAUAUUCUUAGUGAUUUGGGAAUUAGUGUAUUUACGUAGUUAUCUAAGUAAGUGUUCAUCAAAGUAUAAACUCACUUCUAGGUUUAAGUGUGAAUUCUAUUUAAAAUUCUUUAAGAUAUUCAUCAAAUAUAUACGUGUGUGUGUAGGUGUGUGUGUGUGUGUGUGUGUAUGUGUGUAUUUAUGACAUUACUCUUUUAAAAAUACCCAGAGCCCCCAACUGACAACAGUGAGAGAAGUGUAGAAUAGUGGAUAGGACCUGGCCCUGGAAUGCAAGAGGAAUGGAUUCUCCAGGGACUCUGCCAUUUACCAGCUUUGUGAUGCAGGGCAAGCCACAUACCUGUUCUGAGCCUUGAUUUUCCUUCAAGACAAAUUCUCACCCUUUCCUGCCUCCAACUAAUACAGUAAUUCCCCUUUAUCUGUGAAGGAUAUGAUCCAAGACCCCUAGUGGGUGCCUGACACUGCAGAUAGUCCUCAAUGCUAUAUAUGCCAUGUCUUUUUGAUUUGAAAACAGAGAUGACUACCAAGUGACUAACAAGCAGGUAGUGUAUACAGCAUGGAUAUGCUGGCCAAAGGGAAGAUUCAUGUUCUGGGCAGGAUGGAGUGGGACAGUAGGAGAUUUCAACACACUACUCAGAGCUGGGUGCAAUUUAAAACUUAUGAAUUGUUUAUUUCUGGAAUUUUGCAUUUAAUAUUUUUGGACCCUGGUUGACUGUGGGUAACUAAAACCCUGGAAACUGAAACCAUGGAUAAGGGAGGAACUACUGUAUUUAUUGAAUGCGAGGUGUGGCACACUUCUCAUACAAUUAUGGAUGCUUCUCUUACAAAGCUUGAAGCCUAAAAGGGUGGGGGGCAAAGGUUCUCCAGCAAUUUAAGUCAUCAUGCUCAAGAAAUGCUCAAGGUUCUAUGAGAGCCCAGGUUGAGCGCAUCAAAUCAUACUGGAGGAUAUGAAAAAGCUUCCUAGAGGAGCUGACAUUUGCACUAAAGUUUGAGUGAAGUAGAAAGAGAAAGGGGCACACUGUUUUUCCAAAUAGGGAGAGCAGCAUGGACGAACGCAGAGGCGCAACACAACUUGCUAUAUCUGGGGGAACCAUGGGAGGAUCUUGGUAGGAGGUAGGAGAGAGGAUAAGAAUGGGAAAGGUGGGAUCUGGGGCUGCAGUGGUGAAGUCUCUUUUAGGCUCAGCUGGCAAUACCAUUGCUGCUAAUAAUAACUACCUUUUGUUGACUGAAUUGAAAAUACAAGUUAAGCUCAUUUUUAGAUUUCAAAGAUUGAUAAAAUUAGCAUUGCUGAGUGCCUAGCUUUUUACCAAAUAGUCAUUUCUAAUAUGCACUAUACAAUUUCUCAAAUGUAAACAAGUAUUAACCAGAUCUGCUGACUUAACUGAGAUCAAUUAACAAUGUCAAGAGCUAAAGGAUUAUGGAAAUGUUGAUGUCCUUUUGUGAUAUAAAAUUUUACAACUGUUCAUUUAAAUAUUCACCCCAGUGCUUUGAUAAACUGACCCAAAUCUUAGCAUAUUAUCGAGAUAAUAAGGGUUUACUAGGUAGUAUUUAUCCUACUUUAGUUCUCUUGAGCAUAGACGUUCAGUAGAUUUUUUAUUUCUUGGCACAAUUUUAUGAGCAUUCAAAUUAAAACUAUUUUUCAUGUUUAGUGUAGUAGUAACGUAUGAAAAGCUAAACAGGAAAAUAAAAUAAAACCUUAAAUCCAAAAUUGCAAUGAGAGAGAAGUGUUGAAAUUCAAUCCACCAAUGAUUACUGAAUCCAUCCACAUGUUAAAUUCAACCAUUUUUUUUAAAGCUCUGUUUACUUGAUUUGUUUAACCUUGUGAACUUAGGAAUAAUCAUUUGCAAACUUGACAAUAAUACUGUCAGCCCUCCGUAUCUAUCGGUUCUACAUCCAUAGAUUCAACCAACUAUGGAUAAAAAAUAUUUAAAAAAAGAUUGCAUUUGCAAUGUUCACAUGCAGUGAACAUUGAAUUUUUGUCUUAUUAUUCUCUAAACAAUGCAGUAAGACAACUAUUUACAUUGUGUUAGGUAUUAUAAGUAAUCUAGAGAUAAUAAAAUAAGUGUACAUAGGUUAAAUGCAAAUACUAUACCAUUUUAUAUCAAGGAGUUGAGCAUCUGUGGAUUUUGGUAUCCAAAGGAGGCCCUGCAGCCAAUACCCUAUAGACACCAAGGUUCAACUGUAUAGACAAAGGGCACAGUAUAUGGAGUAAGUGGUUAAUAAACUGUACAUAUCACUUACCAGGCUUUGUGCCAAGCUCUCUCUUGACCUUACCUCCAGGGCAGAGCAGUUGGAAGAGGUGAGCCAACAGGAUUUCUGUGGGAGCAGAGGCGCCAGGAGAGGUAGAGCUGGAAGGGCUGUUAUCCUGAAGGUUCUUUAAGAACUCGUGGAAUUGGGAGGAGCCAAGAUGGCCGAAUAGGAACAGCUCUGGUCUACAGCUCCCAGCGUGAGCGACGCAGAAGACGGGUGAUUUCUGCAUUUCCAUCUGAGUCUCAACAGCUUGGGAAGCCAAGGCUGAACCCUUAAAGGAGCUGCACUGGGAAGGGAAGAUCUGGUGGAAAACUCAUGCAAGAUUCAGGCUUUGCAGGCAAGGAGCUAAAUCUGACAUGACAGAUAACAGAGUUUUCUGGACUUCUGGAGAAUAAGAUUAUUAUUCUCAAGGAGAGAUGAUCACCUCAGGAAAAUCUGGACUAUUGAAAAAAAAAGGUAGUAAAUACAACACAAUUUUUCCUGUUAAACAUUUUGCAUAUAAACGAAAUACAGUGUGGGCUUUAGAAAUAUUUUGAUAUGAAAGUAGCACUUCAAGAGAUUUGUGGUUUUGCAUCUUCCUCUAGAGCUCUGUACAAGAAAAAUACUCUAUCCCUGCAACUUCACAAAAAUGAUUAGGUAUUGCUUUUGGAAGUACUUAUUAUCAAUAAGACGCCUCCCCACCUUUGGGGACUUCUUGCAGGUUGUUGGAAAAAAGCUAAAAAGAGCACCUCAAAAUAUCCUCAGUGGCUUUUUUGAAGAACUUUAGAAGCCUUGGAGCCUGCUCAUGGAACAGUUUUGAGGUGGAGGCAGGCAGGAAAACACUGAGUUUGAGUAACAAAGAAGCGAGAGAAUAUUAACCUUUGACAGCUCCAUAACUACUCUCACCCCACUCUCGAAAAACAAAACAAAACACAUACAGGAAUAUAACAAGCAAUGUGAAGUCAGUGGGGAGAGGAGAGGGAAGCAGACAGCUGGAAAGUUACUGCAGCAAGUAGAAAGAGAAACCCAAAUUGUGAACAUUAAAAACGAUUCGUAAAUCUCUCCUCCCUGCCUUCUGAAUAAAACCAUACCCUGCCUGGAGACACUAGCCUCCUCUAAGACUUCAGUAAUUCGUCCUGAUGCACGCAGUACUAGUCCAAUCCAUUUUCUAGUUUGCAGAGGAAAAUCCGGUCCGGCGUUUAUUUUUAGCAGCGCU